ACAUUGAAACACAGGUUUUCGUACGAUCACCAAAGUUAAGUAACGUCGAGCCUGGUCAGCACUGAGAUGGAUGAUCGCUUAGUAAUACCAGGUGCUGUAAG